ensembl:lncRNA
AUGAGACUUUUCUAUUUUCUUCUACUUUUGAGCUUUGUUUGCUCUCAGGUCACCAGCUCUGAUGCUGGGACAUGUGAGACAGGUUAUUGCAAUGGAAACAUUUACAUUCCUAUCAUCAUAAUUCUCUGUAAUGCAUUACUGCUUUCUUUCGCUGUAAAUAUCUACUUUAUUUGCAUGACAAGAUACAGAGACUCGUGCCAGAACUUUUACAAUAAUUAUAUUGCUGUUUGGUGUAGUGGAACCGCAACUGAGGCUGAGCAAUCAGAUGACCUGGUUCCAAAUGACACACAAUACUCUUCCAGUGAGAAAAGGGAGUGUGAGGAACAGUCAGAAGUGAAACCCAUUGAGUGUGUGUACUCUGCUGUGAAACGUUAAAAAAAGAGGAGACCUCAUCAUAAACAUAUGCUAAAAUUGGUGAUAUAUUCUGCUUUUUUCCCCCUCCCUCUCUCUCUCUCUCUCUCUCUCAAUUUUCAUUAAGUCUAUCUGUAAUGUAUAGUUUUAUAAUAAACAGAUUAAACUUUUUUGGUUUCCA